UACGGAGGGUGCAAGCGUUAAUCGGAAUUACUGGGCGUAAAGCGCGCGUAGGCGGCGUGAUAAGCCGGUUGUGAAAGCCCCGGGCUCAACCUGGGAACGGCAUCCGGAACUGGCAAGCUAGAGUUUUGAAGAGGGUGGUAGAAUUUCCAGUGUAGCGGUGAAAUGCGUAGAGAUCGGGAGGAAUACCAGUGGCGAAGGCGGCCUUCUGGACUGAUACUGACACUGAGGUGCGAAAGCGUGGGUAGCAAACAGG
rnacentral:misc_RNA from 1 species